rnacentral:rRNA from 1 species
AUUGAACGCUGGCGGCAGGCCUAACACAUGCAAGUCGAACGAGUGGCGGACGGGUUAGUAAUGAAUGGGCAACUGACCGAUGGAGGGGGAAAACUACUGGAAACGGUAGCUACUACCGCAUACCAUCGGAUGUGUCCAGAUGUGAUUAGCUAGUAGGUGGGGUAAUGGCUCCCCUAGGCGACGAUCCCUAGCUGGGAUGAGAGGAUGACCAGCCACACUGGAACUGAGACACGGUCCAGACUCCUACGGGAGGCAGCAGUGGGGAAUAUUGCACAAUGGGCGCAAGCCUGAUGCAGCCAUGCCGCGUGUAUGAAGAAGGCCUUCGGGUUGUAAAGUACUUUAAGCGAGGAGGCGUUACUCGCAGAAGAAGCACCGGCUAACUCCGUGCCAGCAGCCGCGGUAAUUC